GGGAUUACAGGCAUGAGCCACCGCGCCUGGCCGAGACAAUUUUUAAAAAGACAUUUCUCAAGAGAGUUAUAAGCCAAAAUUUCCCUAGCCCCCUCCAACUCAUUCUGUCCUUCUCCCAGUGCAUGUCAGGACAGGGAAGAAGGCUUUAAAUCAGAUUUUAAGAAAGAGGAUACAUUGGUUUACAACCUUUGCCUAUCGUCCAGAGAGUUUCUGAUCUUUUCUUUUUUUUUGAGACGGAGUCUUGCUCUGUCGCCCAGGCUGGAGUGUAGUGGCACGAUCUUGGCUCACUGCAAGCUCUGCCUCCCAGGUUCACGCCAUUCUCCUGCCCCAGCCUCCCGAGCAGUUGGGACUACAGGCACCUGCCACCACGCCUGGCAAAUUUUUUGUAUUUUUAGUAAAGACGGGGUUUCAUUGUGUUAGCCAGGAUGGUUUCGAUCUCCUGACCUUGUGAUCCGCCCACCUCGGCCUCCCAGAGUGCUGGGAUUACAGGUGUGAGCCACUACACCCGGCCCUGAUCUUUUCUUUGACGGUGGCAGUAUCUCAUUUUUUGAUAAUACACAUGGGUAAUGGCAAGCUCUUGGGACCCCAUGCCAAGCAUCAAGAUCCCAUUUACCUGGUGAUAGGAAAGACAGACAUUCCUCACCCUUUCUACCCACACCCUUGUUCACAGGGAUGACUGUAACUAAGGUCUGCAGGUAUUUAUGCUUAGGAGAAGAAAUCGUAGUUCAAUUCACCAGGAAUAUGAGAAACAAAAGAAAGCCACUAUGUGCUAUGUAAAUGUCUGGCCAUCCAAAGCCACCUUAUGCAGAGGAACACUGGAAGGGCCUUGAUAAAUUUCUCAUAAUUAUUAUCGGGCCUCUUUGUGAUUACUCACAUUUUUCUCAAUAUAGGGGAAAGAUCAGCAUUUUACCAAAUCCACAACCAUCAAACAAACAAGAGCUUUAAUAUUGCUAAAGAAAAUCACACAGCUGAGCAGAUUGAUGUAGAUUUGAAUUCAUGACCACCUAUCUUAACUGGACCCUCAGCUCUGCCUAGCUAGUAUUCAUUCUAGCUACUAGUUUUGAUUAUUUGUAUUGACUCUUUUAUAUUUUCUCCACCUUCCUCAAAUAUCUCACCUUCCCCCACCCCUCAGUGGACAAAAAAAAAAAAAAAAUUCUUCAUGAAGAAAACUGAAGCCUUCAAAUAGAAAUUUCCUCACCUUCAAGGCACCAAAGCCACAACUUACCUACCCCCGCUCCUGCCUGCUCCUCUCCCCAUCCCUUCUGCUACAACGAAGGAAGCAGUAAUGGCUCCAUCAAUGGCUUCUCACACUUGGUGUCAGAGGCCUUCACACGAGGGUUUGCACUCCCCUACAAGGACAUGAAGACUUUCUAGAAGGUAGGUGGACACAGAUAGUUUUAAAGUAAUCAGUUUCCAGAGCCGCCUUCUCCAUAUGUUCCCCUCCUUAUAUUGGUGGGCCUAAGAAGCCACAGGCCUGACAGCUGUCCUUCCCAACUUCCACUUUCCCAGUUGCCUCCCCUCCCUCAUUCUGAAUCCUACUCUGGCUCCUUGCUCUGCGCUGUAAAAAACAAAUAAAAGGGCCACUUGAGAAUGC
rnacentral:lncRNA from 10 species